rnacentral:lncRNA from 1 species
ACAGCACAGUAGAUGACCAGCUCUAGCUGGGUGGCUGUGUGGUUGGCUCUAGCAACGCUAGCUUACUAGGUUGCAAGGGCGAUAGGCUCAAGAAAGCUUCCAGUGGUGGGGGAAGGUCUGACUGGCAGAGUGAAAUUGGCCUGGUCUGUCUGCAGCUGUCUGGGGAUCAAAUUUCCAUGUCACCUGCUUUGGCCUAGGCUUCAGGAACUGAGCUGUCAGACAAAGCCCUGUAAUUGCCCCAGACUCAUCCACACCUUCUCCAACUGUCUCCUAAUUGAGGUUUAAUGGCUUUGGUCACAGAAGGGAGCUUUUCCUGUCUUUAUAGAUAGACAUUCUUUCAUCUGAGCAUCAGUCCAAUUAGUUUAGCAUCUGGAAUAAUUGACAGAAGUCAGACCUGACUGCACGGAAUUCCCCAGGCCACAGAGGUCUUUGUGGUAUUUGCCUGAAUGGGUGGAUGUGUUUUCGUUGUAUUUGGGAUGCCAUUUAGAAAAUGGGCCUAUGUCGAAGUAGAGGAAGUGGGAGCCCAUGGGGCUUUUUGAGUUGGUUAUGCCCGACUUUUAUUUGCAUUUUCUAUAGUACAUCUUGUAUUCACUUCUUAAGUGAACUGACUUAAAUACUGUUGAUUUUUUUUAUUUCAAAUGGGGUGCGAUUUAUUUGGGUCAUGUUAGAUUUCAUUCUUUUUUCAUAAAGUUAACGCCACCUGGAGAUGGGUUAAGAUUUGACUAUCACGAUGGCAGUUCCACUACAGUCUUGAGCCGUUAUGAACUGAGCCCAACACUGGAAGGCACAAACUCUGCAGUGGCAUUUGGCCCCUGGAAUCAUGUAACUGCAGGGCACGUGAAUAGACCAACAGAUUCAUGUGCCGGGUGCUUGGGAUGAAGCCACAAAUCCUGUAUGUUUCUCUAUUUCAUAGAAGAAGAAGGUUUUCAAUUACAAAGAGGGAAGGAGAUGCGUAUAUGUGUGAAGACAACAAGACAAAACAUGGUGCGUCGAAUGAGAGCUGAAGGCAGGACCUAGGAACUUUGCCUACAGUUGGUUCUGCUUGUGUCUACAUUUGAAACUUCCAUAACAAGGAGUUAGAUAGAGUUAGCCCCCAGAAGAAUAAAAGCAAACAAAAAAACA